GGCGUGGUAACAGCUAGACCGCUGCUUCUCUGCAGUCCUGCUUCUAAGCGGAUUUCUCUGAUCACCUUGCUUUCUCCCCUGUCUUGUAGAUCUAUCUUCUUCCGAAGGAAGCCGUGGAAUCUUACUGGUCUCCUGUUUUCACACAUGUCAUGUUCAGAGGAGUGCGGGAACUCCAACUGCGACGCCUCAGCCCUGAUUCUCUGCUGUUUCCAACUCCAAACCCAGCUUCUCAAGAGCAGCCUCUACCUAAACUCUGAGGAUCAUCAACCUGCCUGUCCACCCUCUAACGUUGUACCUCCAACCACUGUGGAGUUUCCUGGAAGAGAAGAAACACAAGCAGUGAAACAAAGUAACUUGCCUUUCAAAAACUGUGCACUUCCUGUCAGCCCCAAGCCACUGUGGAAAAGGACUCAUUGCUUCCCCCCCUGGCCUUACCAAGAACUCAACUUCUUGAGAUCCUGUUUUUGCCCGCUGCUCCAGUCCUGGUUCCUGUCCGACCUUAAAACUGUGUAUCUUAAAUAGACGAUGUCUUGGUCCUUGUGGUUGUCUCUUCAGAGUCUGAGAAAAUCCAUUAUGACAACAGAUAGGUUUUCUUACACUGAAACAUUUACCAUGGCUGUUAUGCCUGACUACUUUACAUGCUAGGAGGACAGAACUUCUAUUUUUUACGAAAAACGUAGUUUUCAGUACAAAGCUUUUAUUUAAUGGAUGAGUCGAACCAUAUUCCCAUCAUCGACGGGGAGCUUCAACACCUUCUAGCUAACACCACGUGCUCAUUACAAAGUUCACAGAAGUUGCAGAUGCAAACUCAGCACUACCGCCAGCUCCCCCACCAACCCUGUUUGCAGAUUGCCCCCAGCGCUUCUUUUCCAUGCCCAAGUGCUGCUGCUGGUUCACUUGCUGCCUCUGCAGCUGUAACGUUUCCUCCAGGAGCCAUGCUGACUCGCUCUUUACAGAGGGAGAGGUAGACUUGGUGAAUGCCAAACUAAGACCAAGUAGAAUGGUAGUGAUCCAAUUCAUGGAUCCGUUUCAUGAGGCCACUUGGCAUGCUUAGUAAAGUUCAAGAUGCCCUUGGUAGCUAUGACCCAUUGAAUUUACGGCUUAACAUUUAAAUGUUUAAUAUCAUUUUAAUUUAGUGAUGCAACAUAUUCAUGGAAUAUGUCAAUAUGUUUUAUUUACUGCCGAUGGUUUCCUCUGACUGCAGCCUGUUCGAUAGAACGUUAAGGAAGAAAAAACUAAAAUGUUCUCUGUUCAUCGUCUACCUGCUGUAUUUAUAUAUAUAAUCUCUAUCUUUUUUCUAUCUUUUUUUUAACUGUCUCUUCAUCUUAUUUAUCCAACUUCCUGUCCUUCACUUUAUCAUGUUUUAUCUGUGUGUCUCUUUUCAUUUUUUAAUCUUUAUCUAUUUUCUUUUUUCAUCUAUGAUUUUAUAUAUUUAAUUACCAAGCUCAAUCUAGAGUCAAGGGGAUUAUUUCACCCCAAACAGCCAAGCCAGGAAAAUUAGUUCUGCUGCUAAUCGCUGGAGAGGAAGUGUUACCAUCAAAACGAAAUUUGGCACUUUUAAAAACCGCAGAUAUCCUUGCCUGCUUUUCAGGUUUUAGCAGCAUGUUUUUCUGUCUGCUGUCCUGAGCGGGUGUUCACCUGCGUCAGGCGUACAUAACUCACCGUGUCAGCGUCGGUGACACAGAGUAUGAGGAGUAUGUUUUCGUCCAGCUUUUGUACAGUGUGGCGGAAGGCCCGGAUGUUUUCUGAAUGGCCCCGGACU